rnacentral:rRNA from 1 species
GACGAACGCUGGCGGCGUGCCUAAUACAUGCAAGUCGAGCGAACGGUCGAGAAGCUUGGCUCUCUGUUGAUAGCAGCGGUGGGGGGAGUAACACGGGGAUAAACUAGCUAUAAGACUGCGAUAGCUUGGGGAAACCGGAGCUAAUACCGGAUAAUAUUUCGAACCAAAUGGUUCAAAAGUGAAAGACGGUGUUGCUGUCACUUAUAGAUGUAUCCGCGCUGCAUUAGCUAUUUGGUAAGGUAACGGUUUACCAAGGCUACGAUGCAUAGCAGACAUGAGAGGGUGAUUGGCCACACUGGAACUGAGACACGGCCCAGACUCCUACGGGAGGCAGCAGUAGGGAAUCUUCCGCAAUGGACGAAAGCCUGACAGAGCAACGCCGCGUGAGUGAUGAAGGUGUUCGGAUCGUAAAACUCUGUUGUUAGGGAAGAACAAAUGUGUAAGUAACUGUGCACAUCUUGACGGUACCUAAGCAGAAAGCCACGGCUAACUACGUG